GGCCGGGUGGUGAAACUGGCAGACAUGUACGCUUGAGGGGCGUAUGUCGCAAGACGUGCGAGUUCGAGUCUCGUCCCGGUCA
rnacentral:tRNA from 2 species